rnacentral:lncRNA from 1 species
GAGGCUGUGGCUGUAAAGGAUUGCAGAAUUUGUGUGUUUCCUACAAAUACCCUUGUACUCCAAAUCUGUAAAUCAGCCGAUGGAAGAUGUGUGUUAAAUGAUCUGGCUGAGAACUGAUCUGCUUCUCGUGUUCCCUGUUUAUGUUUCAGUCUGGAGAAACCCUCAGAGCAGCUGAGUUUAGUUUGAUGACAUUGCUGCCACCGUGCUCUGACUCCCAGUUCCUUGGCUGAAAGGAAAUCCAAACCUGCAUGGCCUUCUUCCCAUUGUAAUUACAUUCCAAAUUCUUAAACCCUCUAAGUAAAUGUGAAUUAGAAAGGAUGAUUUUAAAUGUAAUGAAGGUGCUGUAGGUAAAAAGAUGGCAGUGAUUGGGAAUGUCAGCUCUGCAGUGGCUGGAGGAACAAGUCCUCUCCAUUCUCCCUCUGCAACAGAAGUGAUGAACCCUGGAUCUCUGUGGACAAAAGGAGCUGCUCCACUCAGAUAUUCAGUGUUUACCAGGCAGUGUGGCAGGGCUGUGUCCUUCCUGGAAGUGCUUUGGGAUACCCUGGGCAGGGAGCACACUGCUCUGACCCCUGACCAUCAGACCCCUCAGACCUGAGCUUCACCCAUGUUCCCCUGGAGAAAUUAAAUUUGGGUAAGUAACACCAGACUCUUCUCCUGAGCUGGCAGGAAGUGAAGGAAUAUGGCAGAUACAGUUUUGG